UACAGAAGCCUCAAGCGUUACCCGGAUUUACUGGGCGUAAAGGGCGUGUAGGUGGUGUGAUUAGUCGUGUGUUAAAUCUCUGGGCUCAACCCGGAACUCGCAUACGAAACGGUCACACUAGAGGAAGUAAGAGGUAUAUGGAACUCAUGGUGUAGGGGUGAAAUGCGUAGAGAUCGGGAGGAACACCUGUGGCGAAGGCGGCCCCCUGGGUCAAGACUGACGCUCAUGCACGAAAGCGUGGGGAGCAAACAGG
rnacentral:rRNA from 1 species